AUUGAACGCUGGCGGCAUGCCUUACACAUGCAAGUCGAACGGUAACAGGUCUUCGGAUGCUGACGAGUGGCGAACGGGUGAGUAAUACAUCGGAACGUGCCUAGUAGUGGGGGAUAACUACUCGAAAGAGUGGCUAAUACCGCAUGAGAUCUACGGAUGAAAGCAGGGGAUCGCAAGACCUUGUGCUACUAGAGCGGCCGAUGGCAGAUUAGGUAGUUGGUGGGAUAAAAGCUUACCAAGCCGGCGAUCUGUAGCUGGUCUGAGCGGACGAUCAGCCACACUGGGACUGAGAAACGGCCCAGACUCCUACGGGAGGCAGCAGUGGGGAAUUUUGGACAAUGGGCGCAAGCCUGAUCCAGCAAUGCCGCGUGCAGGAUGAAGGCCUUCGGGUUGUAAACUGCUUUUGUACGGAACGAAAAGCCCCGGGUUAAUACCCCGGGGUCAUGACGGUACCGUAAGAAUAAGCACCGGCUAACUACGUGCCAGCCGCCGCCGUAA
rnacentral:rRNA from 1 species